GCACUACUGAUGAGUCCCAAACAAGGCGAAACAGCUGUCCAAUGC
rfam:Echinostoma caproni strain Egypt genome assembly, scaffold: ECPE_scaffold0000859